GAUGAGUACAGUGCAAACUUGAGGGACAUGGUACAGUACCUGAGGUCUGUGGACAUCCCCAAGGAGCGAGUGAUUCUUAUCACACCACCCCCUCUCUGUGAAGCGGCCUGGGAGAAGGAGUGCAUCCUGAAGGGUGAGUAGCACACCUCAGCCUGUCAAAGCCGAGUGUGGGUGCUAAGGGAGGGACUUGUCCAUUUUCAGUCAAGUUAAUGUCAGGUCUUGCUCUAGCAGUGGCUCUCAGCCUUCCUAACGCUGCGACCUUUUAAUACAGUCACAUUGUGGUGACCCCCACCGUUGCGUUAUUUCAUUGCUACUUCAUAGCUGUAAUUUUGUUGUUAAGAAUCACAGUGUGGGGGCUGAAGAGGUGGCUCAGUGGUCAAGAGCACUGACUGCUCUUCCAGAGGUCCUGAGUUCAAAUCCCAGCAACCACAUGGUGGCUCACAACCAUCUGUAAUGAGAUCUGACGCCCUCUUCUGGUGUGUCUGAAGACAGCUACAGUGUACUUAUAUAUAAUAAAUAAAUAAAUCUUAAAAAAAAAAAAACUCAGUGUAAACAUUUUGGGAGAUAGAAGUUUGCCAAAGGAGUUGCGACCUGCUGGUUGAAAAUGGCUAGACUAUUUUGGGGUAAAUUUUUGAUGUAUAUUUGUGGGGGGGUGUUCUGGUUGUAUGUCAGGAGGGCAUUGGUGACCCAGAGCUUACUGUCCGUGUUGCCAGACGACAAGGCGCAUACAUGGCCCACUGCCAGCUGCAGCAGCUGGGUGGCCAGAUGCGCACACCAAGUCCUCUGCAGCCUUCUCCCCUGGCGUGGGGGAGGCGCCUGCCGUCAAGAGCUCUGCAGAUGGCCCCUGCUCCAGCUGCCAGGAGCCACCCCUGCCUUGCCUCCUUAGGCGGUUGGAAAAGUGUGAUGUUAAAACCCCUCCACUUUCCUUCCACGUAUGUGUUUUGUCCCUUCAGCACAGCAGCUCUCAGGCUGACACAUGUGACUGGAAAAGUGUUCUGUGAACUUUGUCCAAGCUGCUUGAAACUGGAGGACAGGUUUGACUGGGACACAUUUAUGGGACAGCACAGGUCCACUCCCACACUGGGGAAGAGUGGUUCUUUUCCUCACACACAGCAGGUCGGCCCGGCUCCUACUAUACCCCAAAUCCCUUCACUAGCCUCUCAGAGACCUGAGAUUCUACCCCAGCCGGGCUUCCCCCACCCACUGGGUAAUCUGCAUUCAUCCAUGCCUGAGAGAUAGGCAGGAUGCGCUUAGUUAACUCCAUCCAUUUUGUUCUGGAAUCUGCAUUAAUGGGAUAGGCAUGGCUGUCACAUAGACUAGGAAAGACUCAGAAUGGUUGAGCAUGUUGUCCACAGGCCAUGUAGUAGCAGGCUCAGGAAGUGACUGUCGUCUCCUGCAGCCUUUGCUCACAUUAUUACAGUAGCAUGUUGACACUGGA
rnacentral:lncRNA from 1 species